AUGGUAAGAAAAAACAUAGAGGUUUUCAACCGAUAUUCCUACUAGAAAAUGCUAAGAAAAAACAUAAAGGUUUUCAAUCAAUAUUCCUACAGACGAAUCAUAUUUUUCAUCUGUCCUCGAAAAAUCGGAAAAAAAAAAGGGAAAAGAGGCAACCGGCGGACAGAGUUGCUGCGCAGCGGCGGCGGCCUCGGAUCUGGGCUAUGGUUGAGCUUCCUUAUCCGGGAGGAGGUGGUCGAUGAGCCACCGGCGGCGGAGCUGGGCCAGAGCAGGAAGAGGUCGUGGAGUCGGGGCCGGAGGUCUACUCGGGGCGGCGGCGGGGGUCGUAGGUCGCGGAGGUGGUCCGGCCGACGCGACGCAGCUUCCUCGUCCUCUCUAUGGCUCUACGUUCCGGCCCCUUCCAAUAUUCAGAUUCAGAUGGAUGGAUCCUGUCUGCUACAAAAUUCAUCAGCUGCAGCAGCAGCAGCAGGACAAGAUUAAUUAUAUAUAUUGGCGACUUUUUAAAGGAUUAAUUGGUAACGAGCAUUUCUAUCGAUCCGGGACAGCAUCUGCGUUUCGAUUUUGAAAAAUAAGAAUCAAGUCAGCCUUCAAGCAGUGAUGCCUUUCCAUGUCAAUGUUCGUUGAUGCACAGAUUGGGCUCACUUUAGCUCACAACUAGCCAGCCCAACUUACAAUGUUGAAAAGACGAAACGCCGUUAGCCAAGUCCGAUGGGCAAUGGGUACUCGAGUUAGGUGUCAUCUCUCUUUCGGAACCAAGGAUUGAAUAUAUAUGCCUCAUGAAUGAAGAAUACUUACAUACAUAUAGUUCUAGGAAUGCCUCAUGAGAACGAGCAAGGUCCUUCCAUGGAGUGCUCUUUGCUAACGAGAACAGCAUGGGCUUUGAACACAGAAGCACAUAACUUGGUUUGCUAUGCUUUAUCUUCGUGUGUUGGCCGCCAUCUUUGGCUGGCAGUGCCACCCAAUGAGGUUUGUAUUCCUCAAAACAUUAUUAGCUAAAAAAAAGAGAAGUGCUCUUUACUUUUUUCUUUUCUUUUCAUUUUCUGAUGUGUGUGCAUAUAUGAUCUACAAUCUCUACUGCUGGCCCUAGUUGUUCCUUUGUCGUCCCCUUUCUAGAGGCAUUGUUGUUGAAGCACCUUUCAUGUUACCU